CUAAUCUCUCUCCCCUUCCGGCUAUGCUAAAGCUUAUUCCUAGGUAACUGCACACUUACAUACACACCAAGACUACAAACAUACAAGAGGUUGAGUGAGACACAGGCCCUAGAAGAGAUCAUACUAGACAUAAUGGAGAGGAAUAUAUGACAACCUCCCAAUCUCGGAAGCUACCAACCCAAUCCCAGCCCUGGAGGUAAACAUGAACAUUAGAGGGACUGAAUGAUAUGAAAGGAGAGGGCAACACGUCCCAGGCCUCACCCUUAUACUUAGAACUGCUAGUGAGGCUGGCGAACAGCCCAGAGGUUAUUGGAAGAGGUCCAUUAUUAAAACGUCUGACAUACACGACCUGACUGAG